UGGGGAAUAUUGGACAAUGGGCGGAAGCCUGAUCCAGCCAUGCCGCGUGUGUGAAGAAGGCCUUUUGGUUGUAAAGCACUUUAAGCGAGGAGGAGGCUACUUGGAUUAAUACCCUAGGAUAGUGGACGUUACUCGCAGAAUAAGCACCGGCUAACUCUGUGCCAGCAGCCGCGGUAAUACAGAGGGUGCGAGCGUUAAUCGGAUUUACUGGGCGUAAAGCGUGCGUAGGCGGCUUCUUAAGUCGGAUGUGAAAUCCCUGAGCUUAACUUAGGAAUUGCAUUCGAUACUGGGAAGCUAGAGUAUGGGAGAGGAUGGUAGAAUUCCAGGUGGAGCGGUGAAAUGCGUAGAGAUCUGGAGGAAUACCGAUGGCGAAGGCAGCCAUCUGGCCUAAUACUGACGCUGAGGUACGAAAGCAUGGGGAGCAAACAGG
rnacentral:rRNA from 1 species